AUGAUAGUUCCUCUGGUGAUGAUAGUUCCUCUGGUGAUGAUAGUUCCUCUGGUGAUGAUAGUUCCUCUGGUGAUGAUUGUUCCUCUGGUGAUGAUAGUUCCUCUGGUGAUAGGAAUAGUUACCAUGUGGCAGGGGGUGCUGUUGGGUGAUAUUAGGCUUUUUUCUUUUUUUGGUGAUUGGAAUUAUCUUCUUUCUGGAGUUUUUACUAGCCUACUUCAUAUUACCUUUCAUUGUUAGGAUAGUAUAUAGUAGAAGAAACCUCUACUUAUCAUCUUAUUUAUUUUGGGCAACUGUGACUUAUUAAACCCUUGUGCAUCAGUCAAUGUCCUGUGUAUGGCACUAUUGUCUUCUGGGGACAUAAUACCUGUCAUAGCGUUGUGUGUUUAGUGGUUCUUCUCAUGUGUUUCUCAUAUUUUUUCCUCACCUUUGCAUGAUGGCCAUAAUAGGCCUACAAGUGUUAAACAAUAUGGAGGGUGUUUCCCACUCUGGAAUCAUACAACAAUAUUUGCUGAAUAGGUUAUUCAUUUAAAACGGAUAGAUAGGCCUACUUUAAAAAACAAAUUUUGAAAAACUAAACAUUUCCAGUGACGCAGUUUAACUAUGGAAACAGACGACUAUAUUGUACAAUGUAGGUCUACUGUCAUUGAACUUUCCAUUGUCUCGCUCUUCGUGCGUUUUAAAACUAGUUAAUAGGCUUAACCGGUAUGCCUGUUUAGGUCUCCAGCCUCGUCAUUAGUCCAGCACCAUCUGAAGCUAGAAGGGCAGCCAUAGAAUCAAAACAAGUAGUGCUAAAAUGGGUACAACCCCUCAAACCAGAGUUUGACUGCAUCCUCAUGGAUACACUUUUAAAAUGGCUGCCAGUCCACCCAUUGUGGCAUCAUUGACUUGAAUGAGGACAUUCAUUCUACUCAUUAUGGUUCCUUGGAGCAGACAUUCCCAUUCAAAUGAACAUCUCAUGGUGGGUACAUCGGUGGCCAUAUUGGUGUACCAUUAGGAAUGUUGGAUCAAUCAAGGCUUCUCACAUCCGGGCCAAUAUUCAUAAGCAAUCUAGGAUCAGGUCCUGCCUGUUCACAUAGGCCUAAUCUUAUUCAUUAUGAUCUUAAAGGCAAAACUGAUCUUAGAUCAGUACUCUAUCCUGAGACUUUUUAUUAAUACGGGCCCAGAAUUCUGCGCCACAUAAAAAUGCAUUGUUUGCAACAAUGAUUGUUUUCAGCUGUUUGGCCACGCCUCAAAUCACACUCUUUUAUAUAUGCCCUAUAUAGUGCUCAACUUUUGACCAGAAAAAAGUAGGGCACUAUAUAAAGAAUAGGGUAUUAUUUUCCUUUCUAGUAAUUCUAAUUCUACAGUAGCAGACAUACUGGGGUUGAUGAUCAGCUGUGGUGGUGGAGGGGCUUAGUUGUGAUGAUGCUUUAGCUUCACAACACCUGUCUGCGUAAGGAGGGUUUACUGGAGUGUGUGUGUGUUUGCAUUCUUUCUUUCGUACGGCAGUGUGUGUGCAUGCAUGCGUGCAUGCUUGCUUUCUGCCUUGUGUGCGUGUGUUUUCCGUCCCCUUCGGCCAAUAGGAGAGGAGCAUCAGGUGUUGACGUCUGAGAGAGUCAGACAUGGUACCUUAUAAUCCUCAAUCCUCUUGCCCCAGACUUCCCUCUCCUAGAUUGUGUAACAGAAUAUACCGAUAUAGGAAGGAAAAAGUGUAAGUUUCUGGGAACCAAUCUGUUUUGGUCUCCUAUCCAAUCCUGUCUAAAUAUUUUUAUUUAACUAUUGGAAGUGCAGUAUAGUGGACAUGCACUGAGCGUAGUGUUAUGACAAAUCAAAUUAUAUUUUAAUUAUUUUAUUUAACUAGGCAAGUCAGUUAAGAACAAAUUCUUAUUUUCAAUGACGGCCUAGGAACAGUGCGUUGCCUGUUCAGGGGCAGAACGACCUUGUCAGCUCAGGGGUUUGAACUUGCAACCUUCCAUUUACUAGUCCAACGCUCUAACCACUAGGCUACCCUGCCGCCCAGGCAAUUUGUUUCAGGAGAGGCAAUAAGUGUCACCUUCCCACUUGUCUCUCAGUACCAGACCUCAACACCAUAAGCUAGUUACUGGAA
rnacentral:lncRNA from 1 species